GUCUAUGGCCAUACCACCCUGAACGCGCCCAAUCUCAUCUGAUCUCGGAAGCUAAGCAAGGUCGGGCCUGGUUAGUACUUGGAUGGGGGAAAAAUGAGAUGGGAUUCACA
rnacentral:rRNA from 1 species